rnacentral:rRNA from 1 species
AGUGAACGCUGGCGGUAGGCCUAACACAUGCAAGUCGAACGGCAGCACAGUAAGAGCUUGCUCUUACGGGUGGCGAGUGGCGGACGGGUGAGGAAUACAUCGGAAUCUACUUUUUCGUGGGGGAUAACGUAGGGAAACUUACGCUAAUACCGCAUACGACCUACGGGUGAAAGCAGGGGAUCUUCGGACCUUGCGCGAUUGAAUGAGCCGAUGUCGGAUUAGCUAGUUGGCGGGGUAAAGGCCCACCAAGGCGACGAUCCGUAGCUGGUCUGAGAGGAUGAUCAGCCACACUGGAACUGAGAUACGGUCCAGACUCCUACGGGAGGCAGCAGUGGGGAAUAUUGGACAAUGGGCGCAAGCCUGAUCCAGCCAUACCGCGUGGGUGAAGAAGGCCUUCGGGUUGUAAAGCCCUUUUGUUGGGAAAGAAGAGCAGCAGGUUAAUACCCCGCUGUUCUGACGGUACCCAAAGAAUAAGCACCGGCUAACUUCGUG